CAGCACCUCAAGUGGUCAGGAUGAUUAUUGGGCCUAAAGCAUCCGUAGCCGGCUCUGUAAGUUUUCGGUUAAAUCUGUAUGCUCAACAUACAGGCUGCCGGGAAUACUGCAGAGCUAGGGAGUGGGAGAGGUAGACGGUACUCGGUAGGAAGAGGUAAAAUCCUUUGAUCUAUUGAUGACCACCUGUGGCGAAGGCGGUCUACCAGAACACGUCCGACGGUGAGGGAUGAAAGCUGGGGGAGCAAACCGGAUUAGAUACCCGCGUAGUCC
rnacentral:rRNA from 1 species